rnacentral:rRNA from 1 species
GAUGAACGCUAGCGGCAGGCUUAAUACAUGCAAGUCGUGGGGCAGCAGGUUUGUAGCAAUACAGAUGCUGGCGACCGGCAAACGGGUGCGGAACACGUACAGAACCUUCCUUUGAGCGGGGAAUAGCCCAGAGAAAUUUGGAUUAAUACCCCAUAGUAUAAUGAAGUGGCAUCACUUUAUUAUUAAAGAUUUAUCACUCGAAGAUGGCUGUGCGGCUGAUUAGGUAGUUGGCGGGGUAAAGGCCCACCAAGCCUGCGAUCAGUAACUGGUGUGAGAGCACGACCAGUCACACGGGCACUGAGACACGGGCCCGACUCCUACGGGAGGCAGCAGUAAGGAAUAUUGGUCAAUGGAGGCAACUCUGAACCAGCCAUGCCGCGUGGAGGAUGAAGGUCCUCUGGAUUGUAAACUUCUUUUAUAUGGGACGAAAAAAGGGUUUUCUAACUCGUCUGACGGUACCAUAUGAAUAAGCACCGGCUAACUCCGUGCCAG